UUUAGCAAAACCUUGGCCAAGAUAAUCCAUCAGAUGAAUUUGAUAUUUUGAAAUACAAUGUGGACAACCUGAUCAGAAUUGACAGUUGAACUCUAAGGUAUCCUAUGACCAUUUUGGUUAAGGAGAUGAAUUAUAUAGAAACUAUAUCCGUAUGGGUUCUAAGGAUGUUGUUCUACACAUUCGACCUAUCCGACUGUCAGGUACUGUUGAUGCAAAAAUCUGCUUGUGCCGGAGAAGCUGGAGUCGCGGUCGCCGUUGGGACCUGCAAAAAAAGUCUAAACCGGAGGUGGGGUUGCUCCAGCAAGACCCUCUGACGCUCAAGUCAGUUCUCUACCUCAACAAAAAUAGAGUGCUCGAACAGAAAUUUUAGCAGAGUUUCUAGGUAAAAAAUGAGAGCUUAGAGAAUAACGUAUCUGGGGUCCCCCUUUUAUAGGCAGAGGGGGCAACAAACUGAUGGCGAUGUCUGUAACCGUCUGGCAGUGGGCCGCCCAGAGUCAGGAGGAGUUUGUUGCAGAGAGUAGUGGAGUGGACCUGUGGCUAUCAUCGGGGCGAGCCACGUGGAGUCUGCCAUGGGGAGCGGAGCGGCGUCCGUUGUCAUGACUUGCCAGAGAAUGGGAGAAUCGUGUGGUAUCCGUCGCAGGAAGUGGAGCAGGAUCGUGGCCAUUAUUAGGGCCUGCCAGGGAGUGAUGGAGCCGCGUGGAAUCUGUUGGGAAUAGUGUCCCAAAGCCAAUCGUCAGCCUGUUGACGGUUGUGCUCCUUUUUGUAUUAGUACAUGAAUUAUAAAUAAAUAAAAGUUAUUUUAGUAUUUUUUCAUCACAAAUGUUUCAUCUUCUAAUGAACUCCUGUGUUGUGGUGAAGUCCUUAGGACUAUUUAGACACGACAAAGGAGGAUUUGUCGCUUAGUUCUUAAACAUGUUCGCUACCAAAUGAUAUGUUGUUACCAAGGAUGACAAUGUUUAUCGAGCAUAGGUCGUUGUGUGCCAUAUGGGUUGGUUGUCCUCAUAACCAAAGAGUGUGGAGACACUGGUAUGGCAUACAGGUGAGAUGUAAUGGUACAUCUGCACUGAACGUGACCAACUCCAGAGCUAUUUCUGCUAUUAAGAUUUGCUCCAAUGGGAUAUGGGUAUAAAUGUCCCUCCGAUCUGAGACCACCACGGUGACUUGCAAGCAACUCACUGCACUUAGGCACUGGACUACCUGAAUUUCUAAUUCAGUGAUGGAAGGUUGCUGGGUGUAGUCAAGUACUUGACUUGUCGGUGCGUGUGUCAAGAUGGGAUUGACCACUCCAGUUUAGGAGCUGUGUACAAUCGUGUUUUAAUUUAGCAAAACCUUGGCCAGGGUAGUCCUAGUGAGAAGUCACAGGACUAAUUGAGUUGAGCAUGAUUCGGAUGAUAUCAUCAGGGUUGACAGUUUAACCCUGAGUCGUCCUAAACACAGGGUUCAAAAGGGAUGAAUUAUACGGUAACCAUAUUCACGUAGGUUCUGAAUAUUGCGAUUGCGAUUAUUCGACCUAUUCGGUCGUCGGGUACCAUUGCUAGAUGGUCACUUUGAUUAGUACAGGAAUUGGUUCCUGUGCUACCGGUUUAGGUUCGAACCUGCGGGGUCACACACAUUAGAGGUUCCUUUCUGAUCUGAUGGCUGAUUAUGAGUUUUAUCUAUCUGAGACUCUAUGAUUGAGAAUUAGGAUUCUCUAAUCAUGAGCUCCACACAUUUUGGGUACCGGG
rnacentral:lncRNA from 1 species